AAUGGGGGAAACCCUGACGCAGCGACGCCGCGUGGGUGAUGAAGGCCUUCGGGUCGUAAAGCCCUGUCGGAGGGGAAGAAGGACUCUCGUGCAAAUAGUUCGAGGGUUUGACGGUACCCUUAGAGGAAGCACCGGCUAACUCCGUGCCAGCAGCCGCGGUAAUACGGAGGGUGCAAGCGUUGCUCGGAAUUACUGGGCGUAAAGGGCGUGUAGGCGGUUUCGUAUGUCUGGCGUGAAAGCCCCGGGCUCACCUCGGGAAGUGCGUCGGAAACUGCGAGACUAGAGUCCCGGAGAGGGAGGUGGAAUUCCAGGUGUAGCGGUGAAAUGCGUAGAUAUCUGGAAGAACACCGGUGGCGAAAGCGGCCUCCUGGACGGUGACUGACGCUGAGACGCGAAAGCGUGGGGAGCAAA
rnacentral:rRNA from 1 species